rnacentral:lncRNA from 1 species
CGGGCAUCAAGUGAAUACAUUUCCUUAUUCUGGGAUUAUACACAUUCUCCUCUUCUUUUUAUUCUCUUUUCAGCCUAAUUCCUCUGAAACUAGAUGCUGUGAGUUGACACUGCAAGAAGAUGCUGGUUCUAAAAUCUUCUGCAUACCUCUUUGAUCUCUGUUGAUGCAGGAUAAAUAUCAGUGAUUGGAGGCUUUUAUUUUUAAAAGGGCCUAUGUGACAAGGGAAGAGACUUACCUUUCCAGUUUUUAAAAUGAGGGUGAAAUCCAUUAAAACUGGCAGAAGAGCUGGCUCCAUAUCCACAGAAUCAACAAAGCCAAGCAGAAAUAUGAAGCAGAGAAAAAAGGAGAGAAUGUGUGCAGCUGCAUGGCAUUGAGUCCAACUCAGAACCUGCCUGCCCAUCAGGAGGAAUGAUAUGAGGAUGGAAGGGUAAAAACAGUAUGAUAGCCUCUGCCCAAUGACAAACUGAGAGUUUCUGCCGAGGAACUUUGAAGGGAGAGCAUGAUUAAACUGUAUGAAUGAAGAAAAUAAUGAGAAAGGAAGCUUUUAAGGUUCAUUUUAGACAAAAUUAAUCCUGGUCUGAGCAAUAGUCAUAGUGACAGCAUGGAAAUAUGCACUGGCACAGGUUGUGUAGGUAAGCAGAUGCUUCAUCCCUGGAGGUGCUCAAGGCCAGGUUGGAUGUGGCCCUGGGCAGCCUGAGCUGGUGGGUGACAAGCAGCCCAUGGCAGGGAGUUUGGGACUGGGUGAUCCCUUACAAGCUAAGCCAUUCUACGAUUCUUUGAAAUAAUCAUAAGCCUUCCUGCAGGGAUGUGAGGAGAAAAAUCAGUAUAUGAGUGUGGUAAGAUGACU